UCUCAGUACAGACUGAACCAAAGUGAAACCGCAAAAGGCUCAGUAAAAAGGUUUAAUUUACUAGAGUAAACUUGACUGUUCUUGGAUAACUGUGGUAAUUCUAGAGCUAAUACAUGCAACUAAGCCCCGACCAUUUUUGGGAAGGGCGCUUUUAUUAGAUCAAGACCAUUCGCUGGGGCAUCCCUGGCGUCUGAUUGACGACUCUGGAUAACACAUCAGAUCGCAUGGUCUCGUACCGGCGACUUAUCUUUCAAAUGCCUGACUUAUCAACUGACGAUGGUAGACUCUGUGUCUACCAUGGCUCUUACGGGUAACGGGGAAUCAGGGUUCGAUUCCGGAGAGGGAGCCUGAGAAACGGCUACCACAUCCAAGGAAGGCAGCAGGCACGCAAAUUACCCACUCCCGGCACGGGGAGGUAGUGACAAAAAAUAACGAUGCGGGACUCUUAUUGAGGCCUCGCAAUCGGAAUGAGUACACUUUAAAUCCUUUAACAAGGAUCCAUUGGAGGGCAAGUCUGGUGCCAGCAGCCGCGGUAAUUCCAGCUCCAAUAGCGUAUAUUAAAGUUGUUGCGGUUAAAAAGCUCGUAGUUGGAUGUGCGUCCCACGCUGUCGGUACACCGUUUUGUCGGUGACACUGGCAUGCCGUGGAAUGUCCUGUCGGUGGCGGCCAAGGCCCAAGGUUAGUUUUGCCUUUGGGCUAAUUGAACUUGGUGCUCUUUGGCCGCCGACUUAUAUCCUACCGCGGUGCUCUUUACCGAGUGUCGAGGUAGGCCGACACGUUUACUUUGAACAAAUUAGAGUGCUUAAAGCAGGCUAAAAUUACUGCCAGAAUAGUGGUGCAUGGAAUAAUGGAACAGGCCCUUGGUUUUAUUCUGUUGGUCUUUGAAACACAAGGUAAUGAUCAAUGUGGACAGGCGGUGCAUUCGUAUUGCGGCGUUAGAGGUGAAAUUCUUGGAUGCAUUUGCCAAGUAUGUCUUAAUUGAUCAAGAACGAAAGUUAGAGGUUCGAAGGCGAUCAGAUACCGCCCUAGUUCUAACCAUAAACGAUGCCAGCCAGCGAUCCGCCGAUGUUCCUCCGAUGACUCGGCGGGGAGCUUUCCCCGGGAAACCAAAGCUUUUGGGUUCCGGGGGAAGUAUGGUUGCAAAGCUGAAACUUAAAGGAAUUGACGGAAGGGCACCACCAGGAGUGGAGCCUGCGGCUUAAUUUGACUCAACACGGGAAACCUCACCAGGUCAGGACAUUGGAAUGAUUGACAGAUUGAUAGCUCUUUCUUGAUUCAGUGGGUAGUGGUGCAUGGCCGUUCUUAGUUGGUGGAUCGAUUUGUCUGGUUAAUUCCGAUAACGAACGAGACUCUAGCCUAUUAACUAGACGUUUCUGGUAUCUUUGCUACCAGCGAACAAUUAUCUUCUUAAGGGGACAGGCGGCUUAUAGCCGCACGAGAUUGAGCAAUAACAGGUCUGUAAUGCCCUUAGAUGUCCUGGGCCGCACGCGCGCUACACUGAAGGAAUCAGCGUGUGCUUUCCCUUGGCCGAAAGGUCCGGGUAACCCGCUGAACCUCCUUCGUGCUAGGAAUUGGGGCUUGCAAUUGUUCCCCAUGAACGAGGAAUUCCCAGUAAGCGCGAGUCAUAAGCUCGCGUUGAUUACGUCCCUGCCCUUUGUACACACCGCCCGUCGCUACUACCGAUUGAAUGAUUUAGUGAGGUCUUCGGACUGGCAGUAGGCCCAACCGACUUGUCGGUUUUGUCGAACGCUGGAAAGAUGACCAAACUUGAUCAUUUAGAGGAAGUAAAAGUCGU
rnacentral:rRNA from 1 species